UAGCUCAGUCGGUAGAUCAUGGUGUUUGCAACGCCAGGGUUGUGGGUUCGAUUCCCAC
rnacentral:tRNA from 1 species